CGUGCAGGCGGGCUAGCAAGUCUGAUGUGAAAGCCCCGGGCUUAACCUGGGAAGUGCAUUGGAAACUGUUAGUCUUGAGUGCUGGAGAGGAAGGGGGAAUUCCCGGUGUAGAGGUGAAAUUCGUAGAGAUCGGGAGGAAUACCAGUGGCGAAGGCGCCCUUCUGGACGGCAACUGACGCUGAGACGCGAAAGCGUGGGGAGCAAACAGGAUUAGAUACCCUGGUAGUCCACGCUGUAAACGAUGAGCACUAGGUGUAGCGGGUACUCAUUCCUGCUGUGCCGCAGCUAACGCGUUAAGUGCUCCGCCUGGGGAUUACGGUCGCAAGACUAAA
rnacentral:rRNA from 1 species